AGAUGCAGUUUCUGGUGGGGGCUCUCCCGGGCUUUGAGGGGGCCACCUUCCUGCUGUGUCCCUAGAUGGUGCAGUGAGAGACAGUGUCCCCAUGUCCCUUACUCUUCUCAGGAAUCCUAAACCUGAUGGAUGAGGGCUUCACUCAUGUGACCCCAUUUAACCUCAAUUACCUCUCCUAAAGGCCCCAUCUCCAAAUACAGUCACAUUGGAAGUUAGGGCUUCAAUGUGUGAAUUUCGGGGGCACUUAGCCACCCACCCUUCCACCCACUCCAGCCUCCAGGCACAGGCUGCAGACACAGGCCUGAGCCUGCACCAUAUCUGCCAAUGGAAGGCCCGCAGAGUGGCUUUGGGGUGGCAGCUCGGAGAGGGUGUAGGUGAACCUCUCAGGUCUGGGGACUUGGGCCUGCCCAGGGACACAGAGGGGAAGACAGGUGCGUAGAAGGCCUUCUCCUAUGAAAGCGCCACACAAGCGCACUGCACAUCGUGUGUCCUGAGCAGGAGGCCGACAGCAGGGUGGGUGGAGAAGGCUGGGGUCAAGGCACACCCCUUCUCAGUCCCCCAAAAUAUCAAAGGCUGCGAAACACAGAAGCCUGCAAUCACACUCUUGCGAGAGGCUGGAGGUCAUCCAUCCCCCAAGUAAGUCUGCUUUUGAAAGAGGCUCCUAGAAAGUGUUGCCAGGAAGGAGCCGAAUGGUCCACUAGGAAGGAGAGCCUGUGCCUCAGGGGCUCCGCUCCCUGCAAGAGGGGCUCUGCGCAGCGCCGGUCACCGGAGAGGCAACGGCGCCCUCUGGCGGGCGCUCGGGCGACUGCAGGGACACGGCCGUGGGUGCGGGUCGGCCGCCCACGUUUUCCGGUGACUGUGUC
rnacentral:lncRNA from 1 species